rnacentral:hammerhead_ribozyme from 1 species
AUCCAAUUGAUCAGUCCCAAAUAGGAGAAAAUGUGCGUCCUGGAU